rnacentral:tRNA from 1 species
GUACCAGUGGCUCAAUGGUCUAUGAGCUUGCCUUGUAACCAGAAGGUCCUGGGUUCGAACCCCGGUGGGUGCG